UAAUCCUUUUUAUCUAUGCGAGAUAAUGGGGGGAGGGGGGAGGAUCGAUGAAUUGGAAAACGAUCGAAACGACCCCUCCGUCACACGGCACGCGACACGGGAUCGAAUAUUCAUCGGUGCGCGUUCCUUUUUUUUUCUCACGAGCCCACUGCCACCUUUGGCCAAAGGACGAAAGCAGCGUGACGAACCAGCCGUGAAAAUAGCGGACAGCUACGUGCAAACCGAGUUACGUUACGACGUCGAGAUGUGUAUGUUUAGUUGGUAAUUUCCUGCCCGGAUUCACCCUUUCGAUUAUUUAGCUGUCGAACCGUGAAUCGAAUCAGCAAUCGUGGCCGAAUCUCGAAAUUCUUCGAACUUUCGAAUUUUUCGAACGAAAAAAAAUAAUGACACCUGUUUUGUUUUAAAACGAAUUUUAUACGUAUACAAGAAAUUGAUUGGUUUACCUGGAGAUACGUAGCAUAUCCUUGAUAAAAAUUGUCAUUGAGAAUUUUUAUUUCGAACUUUGCACACAGAGUCUUUUGUCACAACUAGAAAAUAAUAUUUACUAGAAAGAUUGAAGAUCAUAUAAUCGUGCAACGGAACUGUGGCAGAAAAAAAGAGAGGAAUGGACGGCAGCUGCUAGACGACCGACAAAUUAGUCGGAAUUCACAUUUACGGCAUCGAUUACCAAGUUUCCUGAACGUGAGCAACGGGCAUAAACGACUAGCCACAAAAAGCGUCGAAGAAAAGAAAAAUUUAUAUUUGCACGUGUUACGACGAUAUAUCCACAUUUUUUUUUUUUUGUUUCGAAAUUAUAAAUGCAAUGACAAAGCAAGAAGGCAAAACGCGAAGACGAUGAUCGUCGCAAUAAAUGACGGCGUAACGAAUGGAACGAGCAAUUUUCCGGACUGGUGGACUUACAUUCUAAACGGAUGUACUAUUAUUAGAUCGCAGUUUGAUAUUGGCUUUGCCGUUCAAUUAAUAUGGGAAAGCCUCUGAGGGGGGGCUUAUCUGAUCUACGAUCUCUACGGUUUUAAUUUGGAAAAAAAAAUCAAUUACCAAACGAUCUUAUCGUAUUAAAUUUGAUAAUAAAUUAAACGUAACACGAACGAUCGCUUUGUUCGAUAAAAUUCACGCCUUAUUUUUUUCUUUUUUCUUUGUUUAUCAAAGGACGUUCAAGGCGAAGCGAUGAAAUAUAAGAAGCCCGCGAUCCAUUGGACGUUAAUAGGCGUGUACGAUUUAUAAUGCGCAUUGUGUGCGUAAUUAGAGGAAGAACGGGGCAGGAAGAAAUGGAUAACCAAUGCACACGUGAAAGGAAAUGCUCGUUUCUCGUCACGACAGCUCAAUAGCACAACAGCUUGUAACUGUGCACCGGUUAAUUACACUGUUUCGAGCAUCGGUCGUACGACGAGCUGUUAGAUCCUUCCUCUUCUUACUAUACACUGUUUAAAAUAAUACAAUUUCGAUCGAUUAAUUUAUUAAAUUAUUCCCUUCCUUCGAACAAACAACGAUAUUAAUAAAAUGUUUACGAACGAAACCUAACCUCUUUUUCGAGAAUACGCAUCACAUCUACGCAUCCACAACUUCCUACGCCAUUAUUAAUAUUCAUGAUCGGCUGUCAGGAAAGAAAAGGAUUCAGCGUCCGUAAUUGUCCAUGAAGUGCGUCAACGUAUGCACGGCCCUUCGAGUUUCGAGAUCGGACAUAAUAAUACACGCGACAGCCGAGGAUUCGAGCGUCGAAUUUGCAUCUGCCACUGUCUUCCAUUGUCUCGGCUAAUUUUCGCGAACCCUCCUUUACUUGUCAGUUCGCUUCAACUCGUAUUUCCCCGUUCCUCGAAUUAGCCAUUCCCAUACAGACGGCCGAAGUGUACGCGACCCCACUCGAAAUACCCUGUUUGCUCUCGCGUUUGCUAUUCGAGAACUCACUUCGUAUAGGGGUGUCUCGAUUUUCUCCAAUUCAUCGAGCGUGUUGUGUUUCACGAUGGAAAUUGAAGUAACGUUACAGGAUACGCUUAAACGGGUAUACACGCUGCGUUGCAUACGUAUACAUACUUUAUAUAUAGGUAUAGAGGUGUUCAAAAAAAAAAAAAAAA